UUUUCUUUUUUUUCAAUAUUUUUCCAAAUAGAAGAAUAGUGGAGCAACAUGGUGCAAUUGAAUUUAAAAUGUACCUAUACAUAAAUCAAUGAUUGGAGAUUUUAGUUGAAGUUAGAUUUGGUCCCAUCCGCCAACGUUGUUCUCAACUGUGCCGCUCAAAUCCUCAAACCGAAAUCCGAAAAUUUACUGCUAAGUUCCUACUUCCCAUAAUGCUUAAUAUGCUUAAUAUGUAUUGGAGAAAUAUUUUUUAAAAACUUCAUUUUUCGCCAAUGUAAAAAUUUUUGAUUGUCAGAAUUUAAAAACCA
ensembl:ncRNA C47E8.12 ncRNA